rnacentral:lncRNA from 1 species
AUAUCUUGAAAUACCAAAUAUUUGACCACGUGGAAAUCUUGGUUUUUAUGACCUAAAAUAAAAGCCAAAACACCGGUCGCGGUGGGUGAGAUGUUGAAUGGGUCAGAAGCAACCGCAAGUUUUUAUAUGCUCGGAAUUCCCCACGUUGUGUAUGGAACUUUCGAAUUGAGUCAAUUGACUAUUCUUUAAAACCCAACUUCUUAAACACACCAACCGAGCCGCCCAACUGGCUGUACUCGGAAAAUCAGAUGGAGUAUAAGAAUCCGUUUUGGUAGCCAAAGCAUGGACUUGUUAUCCACACAUUGGGUCAGGCACGGCCAUAGUGGGCGUGAGAGUGUAGGAAUUGAGCUGGGAGCCGGCACGGUGAAUGCGGCGGAAGACGGACCAUGCAGCCGCGGCAUUUCCGCUGCAAAUGUGAGAGGCAAAGAGGGAAUUGAGCCUGUAGAGGUCUCUAUGGGGCAUUUCAUCGAGCAAGUGGUACGUGCGAACUAUCCUUAAUUGAAAAGUACGCAUACAAAUAAAUCGAGGAAGGGUCUCUUUUCCCUAUUUCCAAGAUUAAAUUGUGUUUAGAAUUAUUCAUUUCUGUAAUCAUCUUUAUUUUUUACUAGUAGUUGAACCCUAACCCUCGUUUGGGUGACGUUUCUUUCACAGUUUAAUGUCUUAUUUAAAUACUACAUAUAUUUAUAUUUUUUUUAUUUACCAUAAUUCUAGAGAGUUACAUGCACAAUUUGUUAAUGAUGAAUUCCCUAAAACCAAAUAAAUCAAUAAAAAAGUGAAGUUUUCCAAGAUCAAGAGAGAAGUGUUUUUUUUUUAACUCCACGAACAUCUGUUUAUAAGUUGAGAAUAUGAAUUUAUAUAUAAAUGAUGUCAAAGGAAGAAAUGUAUUACUAUCAAAAGGGUGUAAAAAAAAAAAAAUGAAUGUUUCGAUGGAGUGGGAAAGGAGGGGAAUGAAUCGAUGUGAAGAGAAGAUGAAUGGGAGAAUGAAUUGAUUAAGGGUGCCAAAAGGGGGGGAAUGAAUCGAUUCUAAAGAAGGGAUGAAUGAGAGAAUGAAUUGAUUAGGGAUAUUGAAAGGUCAUUGUGGGUUAUAAACUAAAAAGGUCAUUAUGGGUUAUAAAAACAACAAUUAUUAUUAUUAGAAAAUUGAGUAAACAUUAAGGAGGUUUUUAUUUUUUUAUUUUUUUAAUAAGAUUUGGAUUAAAAAAAUAAUUUAAUGGAGGUUUUUAUUAUUAAAGGAAUUAAUAUUUAUCUAAAUAUUUUUUUUUGCUACGUAAAAUAAUUAAAAUUAAACAUGAAUUAUUGUAACUUUUUUGAGUCCUGAAAUAUCAUUUCUUAAUUAAAUUAUGAUAUUUUUUAAAAGAGAGAAGUUAUCUAAAUUAUAUUGUUUUAUAUGUUUUCAUUUUUAAAAAUAGAAAAAAAAUAGUCUAUUUUUUUUUUAUAGAAAUUUGGGUAAUAAUAUUUAAUUAAAAUUAUUUUACUUAAAUCAUGAUACAUAUUUUUUAAAAAAGAGAUACAUUAUCUAAAUUGAUUUUUAGGUUUCUCUUUUUUAAAAAUAGAUUAAUUAAAUAAAAUAAAAAUUAAUAUAAUGAUAGGACAUAAGCGGAUGUAAGUGAGAUGAAAAAGACAUUUUAGGAAAGAAAUAAAUUUUUAUCUUUAAAAGUUUGGAAAAAAGUAAUGUUUAUCUAAAUAAGUUUGGGUAAAAAUAUUUAACUUUUUAUAUUUUAAUUAUUUUAAAUAAAUUGAGUCAAUUUAAUAAAGUAUCUUGGUGAAUCAUGACGGUUAAUAACCUUACAACAUGAUUCACCAUAGGUCAUGUCCAAUGUGUAACUAUACACACUAGUGCAUUAAUCAUGAGAAACUCAUCUUGACAACUAAGACAAGUUAUCAUUCCAAUAAGAAGGUAGUGCACUAUAGUCUUUACCAAAUUGCCCAAAUCCAUGAAUUGAUUGUAACUGACUUAUCAUCUUGUAAAGAACUCAUGACUUGUAUCCUCUGUGCAACUCCUAAUACAUUUAUGUCAUGUUCAAUGCAAGUGAUAUGAAUGUGUAUGUUCAAAUAACCAAUUAAUGCAUAUAAAUAAAGGAAAACUAAAAAACAUGAAUACAAAAAAAAAUUAUAAAUGAAUCUCAAUCUAUUGUAUCAUAUCACGCUUUUUACGACUCAAUCCCAACAAUUAUCUUAAUCAUUUAAGUGAUAGGACUAAAGUGCAUAUAAUGAAGAUGAUAAGGUCAUUUUAGGGAAAAAAAAGUCGAUAAAUACUUCACUGUUUUAUAUAUAUAGUAUAAAUGGAUAUAUCUUAGGCUAGAAAUAAGCACUUUUUUUUUUCGUUUUUGACCUCUUAUAAUUUGAAUAUUUCUGGUGUGAUUCUAUUGAAACAAUGUAAGAGAGAAAUUCUCAAAACCUUGAAGUCAUCAUGGUAUCGAAAUAGAAAAACUAACUCUUAAAUUCCAAACCUUCAUUACUUAGUCAUAAGUCUGUUCACUCUUCAUUACUAAGUAGAAACUUCUUUAAUUUCAAACCAACCUUUUUUUGCUUUUAUUUGUUGUUUUUUAGAUCAACCUUAAUUACUAGUAACUCAACUUUCUUUCAUACUGAUAGGCUAUAAGAUAGAUGUUUUUUCUUCGCCAUACAUGUCUAAAAUCAACAAUAACACAACUAACCAAUUCACAACCCAUAACACAAAUCCUAGUGAUUAUCAGAAUGUCUCUACUUCAAAGUUACUAGUGGAAAUUAUCUUUAGUGGUCUCAAAUGGUGGAAACGUAUAUUAAAGGAAAGAAGAAAACUAAGUCAUCUUUUUUUUUUUCCCUAUAAUCAACAAUGAUCCAAAAUUUGUUUCUUAGGAUGAAGAAGAUUCUUUGAUUAUAUCUUAGUUAUGGAAUUCCAUGCAGUUGGAAAUAAAUCAUACUUGUAUGUUUUUCUCCAUAACAAAGGAAAUUUGGGAUGCAAUUCAUAAAACCAAGUCUAAGGUGUGAGGUGUUUCUCGGAUCUAUGAACUCAAGACAAAACCAUGAUGCCAAACAAAGUACUUGAUAUGCAACUAAGUAUUACAAUGUUAUAAAGGGACUGGGUUAGAUUUUCAUCAAAGUUUUAAGAUGGAAUAUAGUAAAGAUGCAACAAUAUAUUAAGAUUUUAUUGAGAAAGUGAGUCUUUGAUUUUUUAUUUUUUAUUUUUUUGAACUAGUUUGUACAAUGUUAUAAAGGGAUUGGGUUAGAUCAUCAUCAAAGUUUUAAGAUGGAAUAUAGUAAAGAUGCAACAAUAUAUUAAGAUUUUAUUGAGAAAGUGAGUCUUUUGAUUUAUUUAUUUUUUGAACUAGUUUGAAUAGUGAAUUUGAUCAAGUUACGGUACAGAUAAUUCGGAGAGAUUUGUUGCCUUUGUUGAAUGAAACACUUACUAUUAUAAGAGAAGAAGAAAGAUGAAGAAAUGUAACAUUGGAAAAUUUUAAUUUCAUGGAUGGUUCAACAUUGUCUAUAUCUAAGUUAAAUGUUAAUGAAGUCGUCAUAACUACCGCUAUUGUUGUUGACAAUGCAAAAAAAUCAAGAAAGAUGGAGGGAUGAAAACAAAGUGAAAAUGACUCAUUUUUGUGCAACUAUUACCACAAGAAUCAUCACAUUAGGGAAAAUUGUUGGAAGCUACAUGGCAAGUCUUCAAAUUUCUUUGGAAAAAAUAAUGAUAGCUGGAGAGGAAAUUCAUGUUACAAGUUCCAAAGUUAUGUUGUUGAUAUAGAAACAAAACAUCUAGAAAAUAUUAUUACUAGAGAAAUUUUCAAUUAGGAGAAGAUCAAUAAGCUAAAACAGUUUAUUUAGUAUCUUGAAAAACUAGGAGGUUUCCAUCAUUUUGUCUAAACAAGUAAGUAUUCCCAAACCCUACAUGCCUCUAGAAAUUCAAUUUUCAAGCACUUGGAUCAUGGAUUCAGGGGCUUCAAAUCAUAUGAUUAGUUCAUCCAAGUCCUUUAACACUUAUAGUCCUUGUCUUGGAAACCAAAAAAUAAAGAUUAUUGAUGAGACUUUUAUCAACAUAGCUAGCCGAGAAAACAUUUCCAUUUCACUAUCCUUAACAUUAAAAAUGUCUUAUAUGUUCCCUUGUUGUCUACAAAUUUGUUAUUAAUUCCUUAUAUUACUAAGACCUAAAUUGCUCAAUGAUAUUUAUAUAUUCUAAAUGAGUUUUUCAAGACUGUCUUAAGAGGAAAAUGAUAGAGUAUAUUAGUGGGAAAGAAAGAUUGUACUUUCUUGAAAUUGAAAGUGACAAGUAUGAUUUUAUCCCUCUACCUUACCUGCCAUAAGAAUGCACUACCAAUAAGAGUCAAUUUUGGUUAUCCCAUUCUCGUCUUGGUUUUUUUAUUUUUUAUUGUUAAAAAAGAUGUUUCCUAUUAUGUUUGAAAAACUAGAUAUUCAAACAUUGUGAUGUGUGUGAGUUCACCAAACACCAUCAUGUGUGAAAGUUUGGAGAAAAAAAUUGUUCUUUUAUAUCUUUGAAGUUUUGGAUUAAAACAUAUAUAUAAGACUACUUUUUAGUAUAUGCAAAAUGAAGAAAAUAAAAUAUAAAAUUGUGAAAAAAAUUAAAAUCUUGAAAUAAAAAAAUAAAAACUAAAUUAGAAACAUUGACUCAAUUGAUUAUAUCUUCUAAUUUACUCCACUAAAUCAAAUCAUAACAUCUUAUUUACAACAAAUCCUUGAGAGGAAACGACUGCUUCAGAGGUGAGAGGAGGUUUGAAAGGUGGAAAGUGUUAGUUUGCAGUAGAAUCCAAGACCUUCGAAAUCUCCAUUGAAGUAGUCUGAGGUAAGCCGAGAGAGAUUAUUUUGGAAAGGAGCAAAGACUCUUCCUAUUGGAUAAGGUUUGGAGAAAGAAGUUUGACCUAUAUGUUGGAAGGUAUGGAAACUUGGUAUAGAGGAGAUUCAAGUUCAAGGUGUCUAAAAGUUUGGGAAAAUGGAGGAAGAAAGUUCAAGUUGGAGUGUCAAUCAAAUGAAGCUAGUAGGUUUUUACUUUGUUUGGUGCAAGAUAUGAAAGCUAAGAAGUAUUGUCUUGUAUUUCCAGAGAGAAAAAGUUUAGUUGUGGGGUGGUUCUUAUUGGUUAAGAAGUUAAGGACCUUAGGAGUCUCCACUCUAGCUCUAAGCAAAGCUUUUUUGGGUGUUUCCACCUUUGAAAAUGGUGGGUGUAGUUUCAAGAGAAAGAGAAAGGGAAAGGAACAUAUGCAGAUGCCACGAGGGUGAAGAUAAGGGUACCAGAUGAGUCUUUAUGGGUGCAUUUAAGGGAUCGAGAACUUCUCUAUAGGGAAGAGCAACUAAGUCGUUGCUUGGUUGGCUGAUUUGGUGACAGUUUUGAAUCGAUUCCUCCUCUGUCAUCCUUGAAAGGGUGGAUGCUUGUAAGUUGGAUUCUGGGGGAAGGGGUUUAAAAAUCUCCAAGUUGGGUGGGGUUCUUAUACUGUUUGAGUUUGAAAAUAAAUGUGAAGUUGAUUUGGUGCUUUGAAGGAGGAACAAACGGUUUAAGGAGAGAGAGUUUCUUUUGUAAAGAUGAGGACUUGAAGUGGGAUGUUUUUGGAAUGGGAGCCAUGCCAAGGAAGUAUGGGUGAGGUUUGUCGGACUUCCUCUUCAGUUUUGGAGUAGAAGGGUGUUUAAGAGAAUUGAGGAGAGCUGUGGGAGUUUUAUAGCUAUAGAUGAGGAAACAAAUUUCUUUUCUUAGUUGCAAUAGGCUCGUAUCUUGGUGAAAGCCACUGGGAAAUAUUUGCCAGGGUCAUUGUAGGUGGUGGUUAAGCAUACUUGCUGGAAAGUUUGUCUUUGGUGGGAAACACCUCAUUGGGUUUCUUAGGUAGUGCCUAGGUCUAAAUUUUACAAAAGUGCAGGGCAUGAGGUUAGAGACGAAGGUGUGGGUGGUGCACGCGCUGGUGAAAGAGUUCAGGAGACUCAACUUGGUGAUCAGAGCUGGGGGUCAGAGGGGUAGGUUGAGUGUGGUAGAAGGAAUAGAGGUACACUUGGUGUAAUGGGUAGGUCGGCUAAAGACAUUGAUUUGGACUCGAUUUUAAGUGGGUCUGUGCUUAGGAUAGUAGGCUAGGAGCAGUUUAAAGGAAAAUAAACGUUAGACUCAAGUGAGUGGGUUCAUGAAAAGCCUAUGGGUGGAGCGGGUUGGGUCAUGGGCUCUAACCCCUUCAUCCCUAUGAGUGUGGGUCUGGUUGACUAAGGGGCCUUUUGGGUCCAUUUUAAAAGAGGUCCAUCCCCUUGUGUGCCUUUUUGGGCAACUCUUUUCAUUUAGGGCUCUUUCUAAGUCUGUUGUGGGAGCUUUGGGGCUAGAGUAGGUGGUGCUAGUUGAUGAAGACUUCAACGUCGGGGGGUUACUUCCUAGUCGAUCAAUGCUCACCGACGAGGCAGUGAUGGAUGAAGUAUUCGGGUAUCCCGUUUAUCACAACCGCUCUUUUUUUUCUUUGGGGCUUCGAGGUGUUUCUUUUUCUACUCCUUUCUUGGGACCCGACGAAGCUUUAUUGGUGUCAGGGGGGAGGAAGGGUAGCUUCUAGUGGGUUGAAGGCUCAGUGGUAGGGGCGCUGGACUAGGAUCCUCUACGAGUAGUGCCAACUAAAGAUUUAUUGGUCCUCAAUGGUCGAAAAAAAGUCUCCUUAGGGUUUAGCUGGAAAUUUUGGUGCGACUAAGCUAGCGAUUGUCCUAGUUGGAUAGGGUUUUGCGAGUCCAAUAGUGGAGAGGACUGAUUUUCAACUGGAAGAGGGGGACGGGAUGAAGGGUGGAACUCUAGUUGUCUUACAAAGUUUAGUCGAUGCCUUAGUAAGCUGAUUGAAGGGUUCGAAGAGGAAAUUUUAUCUCUUGAGGAGGAUGAAUGGGAGAAUUGACCAAAAGAAGCGGGAUGGGGUGUCUAGAAAGACGAAAUUACUGUAUUCAAAAUCUAGUUGGGAACUUAAGAAGUUGGAGUGGACAAUAAGCUAUAAAAAAACCAAAGUUGAUACCAGUUUGGGUAUUUCUGAAGGGGCUUUUGUGGUGGGAUGCAAAUGAAGAUAAGAAUUUUAUUCUAGAAUGUGAGAAGGGCAAAUGAUAGAGAUAAAAGAAAGAUAAUUAAGUCAGUGAUAAAAUCUCAAAGAGUGGACGUGGUUUGUUUGCAGGAAAACAAAAUUAAAGAAAUGGUUAUGGGGCUUGUUCGUAGUCUUGGAGUAGGAAGACAUCUAAACUAUAGUGCAAUCAAUUCAAGGGGUGUAACUAAAGACAUUAUGGUAUUUUGGGAUAAUAGAGCAUUUGAGCUGAUUGACUUGGAAGAAGGGGAGUACUCAAUUUCAUGCCGCUUUAAGAACUGUGUGGAUGGAGUUGUGUGGGUGUUUACUAAUGUGUAUGGUCUGGUGUGCAGUAGGGAUAGAAAGGACUUUUGGGAGGAGCUUGGGUCAAUAAGAGGUUUAUGGAGUGACCCUUGGUGUGUAGGUAGGGAUUUCAAUAUGAUCAAAUUUCUAGAGCAACGUAGUAAGGGAGGAUGACUUUCUGCAUUAAUGAGAAUAUUUCCAAAAGUGUUAGAGAAUUUAGAGCUGAGGGACUUUCCUUUGCAGAUGAGUCCUUUUACCUAGAAAGGUGGGUUGAAUAACCAAUUCGGGUUGAAUAACCAAUCCCAUUAUAGGCUUGACCGAUUUUUAGUGACCAAUAAUUAGGACAUCUUGUUUAAUGGGUCUAUGUAGAGUGUUUUACCCAGACCGAUUUCUGAUCACUUUCCCAUUUUCCUAGAAGAAGGAGACAUGAAGAGGAGACUUUCUCCUUUUAGAUUUGAGAACAUGUGGUUGGAGGAGGAGGGGUUCAAAGAUCAGAUGAAGAUGUGGUGGGGAAGCUUCAAUUUUACUAGGACCUCCAGCUUUGUUUUAGAUGCAAAAUUGAGAGCCUUAAAAGUUAUUUUGAAGACUUGGAAUAAAGAAGUGUUUGGUCUCAUUGAGACUAAAAAGAAAGAAGCUCUUAGCCAGGUGUAUUAAGAUGAAAAUGAGAAAUGUUCAACUUUGAAUUUGGAAGAUUGUGAAACAAAAAAUAGGCUAGAGAGUCUUAAAAGACUUGGGUGUUAAGGAAAGAAAUCUCUUAGAAAUAGAAGUCUAGGAAAGUGUGGUUGAAGGAGGAGGACAAUAACACCAGAUUCUUCCACAGGAUGGCAAAUGCUCACAAUAGAAGAAACUAGUUGUCCAAACUGAAAGUGAAUGACUAAUGGCAUACCAAGGAGAAUGAUUUAAAAGAUAGUGUGGUGGGGGCAUUUCAUAACCUAUAUUCAGAAGAAAUGGGUGGCGUCCUUGUAUUGAUGGGUUGUCUUUUAUGGGGCUAGUUAACAGUGAGGUUCAGAGGCUGGAGAUUCCUAUUUUGGAAGAAGAGGUGUUUGUAGCAGUCUUAGAUCUAGGCAAAGACAAAGCCCCUAGUCUAGAGGACUUCACCAUGGUUUUUUGGUUUUUUUUAUUAGGAUGUUAUGAAGGUAGAGGUUAUGGGUUUUUUAGAGACUUUCAUGAGAGGGACAAAUUUGUAAAGUCUUUGAAUGCUACUUUCUUGGUUUUAGUCCCUAAUAAGGGAGGUGUAGAAGACCUAAAAGAUUUUAGGCCGAUUAACCUUAUGGGUAGCCUUUAUAAGUUGUUAGCCAAGGUGUUGGCUAAUAGAUUAAAAAGGUAAUGGGCAAAGUGAUUUCGAAGUCCCAAAAUGCCUUUGUGGAGGGUAUAUAGAUUUUAGACGUAGUUUUGAUUGUAAAGUAGGGUGUGGACUCAAGGUUGAAAAACAAUGAAGGUGGUGUGUUGUGCAAGUUGGAUAUUGAGAAGGCAUAUGAUCAUGUCAAUUUGAAGUUCUUGAUGGCAGUGUUUCGAAAGAUGGACUUUGGGGAGAAAUGGAUAAAGUGGACAGAUUGGUACAUCUCCACUAUAAAAUUUUCCAUUUUAAUAAAUGGUUCUCUUUUUAGUUUUUUUUUUAAGUUCGAGGGGAUUGAGACAUGGAGAUCUUCUCUCUCCUUAUUUGUUUGUGAUAACCAUGAAGAUGUUUAGUUGUUUAUUGAGGAGAUCUAUUAGUGGGGGCUACUUAUCUGGUUGGAGGGUGAAAGGUAGGAGUGGUGAGAUGAUUUUAAUCUCGCACUUAUUAUUUGCUGAUGAUACAUUGGUAUUUUGUGAAGUGUCUCAAGAACAAAUGACUUAUCUAAGCUAGUUUCUCAUGUGGUUUGAGGCUUGCUCAGGUUUGAGAAUCAAUCUAGAGAAGAGCGAGUUAAUUCCGGUGGGUAGGGUGCAUGAUAUAGAGGACUUGGCCUUGGAGUUGGGGUUUAAAGUGGGUGGUCUCCCUUCCUACUAUUUGGGUUUGCCUUUGGGGGCCCUUUUCAAAUCAAUGGUUGUGUAGGAUGGAGUUGAAGAGAGAUUUCGAAAAAGACUAGUGUUAGCCCAAGGAUUCUCCUAGUCGGGUUUUGAUGAUAACAAAUCAUGGUUAAGUGACUAAUUGGUUUAAUGAUUAAGAAUCUCAGGUAUAAACUCGAAAAUUCAUCAAAUGACCAAAUGGAUACAAGAUCGAGACACUUGGAAAACUUGUGAUCAUAGGAAACUAAUGUAAGAUGAAUGCAUGAGUGCACUUAGGAUUUUCACUUGUUUCAUGCAUAUUUGAAAACUCGGUUUGUUCUUUAAAACUUCGAUUUCAUUAAAACCCGAGUUUUUAACUAAUGUACCUUAGGCAAAAUGUUUCAAAAUUGGUUUAAUAAUUUACCUAAAGAUCUUGCCUAAGUGUUAGAGAAGAAAGGAAUUAAAAAAAAUAGGUUUUCGGGGCCAAAAAGGCUCAACCGGUCGAGGCUAUAGCCAACUGGCUCAACCGGUUGAGGAACCGGUCGACCAGUCGAGGAAGGUCAAAAACCUUCUCUCUUUCCCAAUAGCCUUUUUUUCUCGGUCGAGGUGUUUCUCUUACCAGUAGAGGUCCGGUCGAGGACCAGUCGAGGUCCAGUUGAGGCAACGAUACCCUGUCAUGCAUUAAAUGCUCCAACGGCUAGUGAAUCGAUCGACCCCUAGCUCGAUCGAACAAGGUUAUCUUUUGUUGUUUUUGACUCCCAAGCUUAGAAACCUAUAAAUUGAGAGCUCCACUUCAUUUAUUGACAAGAGAACACUUGCAUUCAAUAGCCUACCUACCUACUCUUGAUCAAAAAGCUCUCAUUUCUUUCAUAGUGCAUUAAAUCACCACUUGCAUAUCCUUUAGUGCACUCUUGUGUGUCAUCCUAGCUUUGUCUUGUAUUUGAGCUAUCCUUAAGCUAGGUUGAAAGAUUAUAUCUUGUAAAAAUCUGAGUGUUAAAGCCUUCAAAAGGGUUGAAUUUUGAAGAGGUUGUGUAAGAGCCCAUUGGAGCCGAAAUCCAAGUGUAAGAAGAUUGGAAGUUUGGUUGAAACUUCAAAUUAGUGGAACCCUCACUCGGUUAGGAGGUUGAGGAGAGUGGACAUAGGCAAGGAAGUGCCGAACCACUAUAAACCCGAGUUUGAAUUCUCUAAACUCUAUCUCUUUACUUUGCUUAUAUUGUGUUUGAAUUUGUUGUGAUUGAAAAGAUUUUAAAAACCCAAUUCACCCCCCCCUUUUGGGUGUUUUUCUUAACUAAGUAUAGCCUUUGUUUUCUCAACUAGCAAUGUGGAAGAGAAAGUAUAUCUCAAAAGGAAUGAGACUCACUCUAAUCCAAAGCACUUUAUCUAGUAUGUCUAUCUACUUCAUGUAUUUUUUUUGCAUGCCAAGAAAAGUGAGGUUGAGAUUGGAGAAGAUUCAGAAGGAUUUUCUUUGGGGUGGUGGAACUCUUGUGCAGAAACCGCAUCUUGUUAGGUGGAACAUGGUUUGCUUGGAAAAAAAGAAAUGUGGUUUGGGAGCGAGAAAUCUAGCUCUGAUGAAUAUGGCUCUCUUAAGCAAGUGGAAUUGGCGAUUUGCCAAUGAAAGAGAGGUUUUUUGGAAGCAAUCAUCAGUCACAAGUAUGGUGAAGAGGAGGAGGGGUGGUGCUCCCGUGCAAUGAAUGAGAGGUAUGGUGUGGGAUUGUGGAAAACAAUUAAGAAUGAGUGGUAGGUUGGCUUACCAAGUGGGUAAUGGGCGGAGAGUGAGAUUCUAGAUGGACAAGUGGUGUGGAGAUGAGCCACUUUGUGAGUCAUUUCCUUCUUUAUUUUCCAUUUUUUUGUCUAAGAAAGCUUGGGUGUCAGAUGUUUGGAACCCUGAUAGUAAUGGGGGUAGUUGGACCUUUAUUUUCUCAAGAGCGUUUAAUGAUUGGGAAGUAGAGUUGGUGGAACAUUUUUUGCAAAAGAUCCAAGCCUUUAAGGUGCAAAGAAAAGAGGAAAAUAGAGUGAUCUGGACAGCUUUGAGUUGUGACACCUUUACAGUCAAGUAUUUUUAUUCUAUUUUGGAGACUAUAGAUUCUUCUUCAUUCCCUAGUGGUAGUAUUUGGAGGGCGAGUGUGCCUCAUAAGGUGGCUUUCUUUGCUUAGGAGGCUUCUUGGAGUAAAGUCUUAACUUUGGAACAACUUCAAAGGAGGGGGCACUCGUUGGCAAAUAGGUGUUUUCUAUGCCUCUCUGAAGUAUAGAUGGUAGAUCACGUUUUACUUUAUUGUGCAAAGACUCGGGUUUUGUGGAAUCUUCUUUUUUCCCUCUUUGUUGUUGCUUGGAUUCUUUCUUGUUUAGUGAAGGAAACUCUUCUUAGGUGGCAUGGGGCGUUUGUGGGGAAAACUUGUAAAAAGGCUUGGCAAAUGACCUUCUUAUGUAUAUUUUUUACAGUCUUGAAGGAAAAUAAUAUGUUAACAUUUGGUAAUGAGGAGUUUUCACUCCAAAAAUUGAAAAAUUCUUUUGUAUGUUAUAUUUGGUCUUGGGUUAGGGUGUCUAUAGUUUUGAGCCCUUCUUCACUUGUAAUCUUCUUUGAUUGGUUAGGCUAUAUGUAAAGGCAUGUGAUAUUUUUGUUUCUAUCACUUCCCAUUUUGUUUGAGUCUUUGGGAUUCUUUUGUAUACUCUCUGUAUAUUUUGAGGACACUACUUUUGGUGCUUCCUCUUUUCUUCAUAUACAUCUUUUUAUCUAUAUAAAAAAAAUUAUUUUAUGAUUUUCCACUCUCCCUCAAGCUGGUAUGAAGAUUUAACAUUCCCAUAUUUUUUUCUAGAACUUCAAACAAAUGCUUCUAAAGGCCUUUAGUAAGGAUAUAUGCUAGUUGUUUUCUUGUAUGAACAUAUGACAUAAAGAUUAGGCCCCUUUCAAGUUUUUUCUUAAUGAAAUGGAGAUCCACUUCAACAUGUUUAGUUCUAUCAUGUUGAACUAGAUUGUGGGCUAUGUUAAUUGUUGCCUUAUUGUCACAGUAUAAUUUCUUAGGUUUCUCAUAAGGAAUCCUCAAUUCUUCUAAUAUCAUCUUCAACCAAACCAGUUCAUAAAUUCCAUGAGCAACGACCUGAAACUCAAAUUUUGUACUACUUUGAGCAACAACAUUUUGUUUCUUACUUCUCCAAGUUACCAAGUUCCUUUCAACAAAGGUGCAAUAACCUGAAGUUGAUAUUCGAUCAUUGUUAUCUCCUACCUAAUCAGCAUCAAUAUACACCUUAAUCUACAUAUGCCCAUUUUUCUCAAAUAGUAAUCCUUUCCCUAGGCUUCAUUUUACUUCAGAACUUAAUAUAUGGCUUCAAAACAUUCUUUAGUAGGUGAGUGCAUAAAUUGGCUUACCAUACUAACUAUAAACACUAUAUUAUGAUGUGUAUGUGAUAAGUACAUUCGUUUACCCACCAAACGUUGAUAACGUCUUUUAUCCACACUUGAGCUUAACUUUCUUUGCCCCAAUUUCCUAUUAGGAUCAAUUGGUGUAUUAGUUGGUUUAUAACCUAACAUUCUUAUUUCUUUAAUCAAGUUUAGAGUAUAUUAGGAUCAAUUUCUUCCUUUAUUUGUUUUUUUUAUUGAGAAUUUAUAGUUUUAAAUAUAAUUUUCAAAUCCAUUUUCAAUUGAAUAAUUCCAGCUUUAAAAAUCCAUCUUUAGACUUCUUCUAGGCAAUAAAAAUCCUUAUUUUCAAAUGAACCAUUUGUUGCCAAAUUUUCUUCUGGCAUGCAUUUUCUUUAUUUCUUAUAAUAAUUUUCAUGACUUUCUCUUUUUUUAAUAAGCAUGAAUAAAGGUUAUGGUUCCAAAUAAUGGAAUUCAUAGAAUUAAUUCAUGCAAAAUUAAAUUGGGCCUUAAUGUAGGACCUGACAUCCAUGAUACCUUCUUUAAUAAUGAUUAAGUGAGAUGAUUGUUUGAUAUUUAAUUGACGUUAAUCCUCAUUGUGAUACAUAUGAGAUUGUUUAUACCUAUUGUUGAGCUAACCUUGUUUCCCAUUGAAGCGCUUAACUUGCCACCCAGGUACACUCUUUAUCACCCACUUUCAAAAUUCCAUGGAUAUGCUUGUCAUUAUGCACUAUGUCCAUGUUUGAUGUCGUACUUGAUUGCCUUAAGUCUUGUUUGAUUAUCCCUGAUAAAAUGCAUGUUGUGUGCCUUAUUUUUUUUUUAAACUAAUUUUGAUGUCUUGUGAUAGUGCUUAAGUUGCAGUUCAAGUACGCAUAAUAUCCUUUUAUUAUGAUUGUGUUUUGAAUUCUUGUUUGGCAUGCUAGUGUUAAUAGAGUUUUGAAAUCACCUUAGCCUACUUAGGUACCUUCAAUCAACCGGUUAAUUGUCAUACUUUCUUCAAGUUAACUAGUAGAGACUUCUUCAGGAUUUAGAGGGGUGCUACCUCUUUGAAGUACCUUCUCAAUAGGUAACCUAAUCCUCAGACCCAAACUCGGGUUUUUCAAAGACUUGUUUUUCUAAAACUAUGGAAUCACAUUUUUUUUAAGGUUUUCUUUCUUAUUUUAUUUUUUUUUUAAAAAUAAAAUAAAAUAAGUGAUGUCUCCAAUUUUACUAAAAUUAAUUUUUCACCAUUAAAAAGUGAGGUUCGUCAAUGAAUGAGGACACCCAUGAAAAAUGCGGGUCUACAAUAUGAUCUCAUUUUCAAGUAGAUAAUUUCCAAGAAUAUAGUUAAAAAUUUCCUUUCCAUUAUCAAUCCCAAGUACUUGAAUUUGAGUUUGAAAUUGUGUUUUUAUCAUAACAUGGACUAUUUUAAAAACCCUUUUUGCCUUUGAUUUUUCCUUUAACAAAUAAAUUCAAUAAACUCUAGUGUGGUCAUUUAUGAAAGUGAUAAACCACCUAGUUUUGAUUAAGGUUAUCAUGCGUGAGGGUCCACAAAUAUUACUAUGUAUCAAGGCAAAAGGUCUAAAUUCUUUAUAGGGUCCUACAAGAAAGUAGACACAAUGAUUUUUUAGAUAGUUAACAUACCUCACAUUGAAACAUUAAAGGAAUUUUAUUCUUAACAAAUAUGGAAACAACGAUUUUAAAUAUGAAAAACUAGGAUGACCUAACCUAUGGUGCUAUAACAUUAUUUGAUGUUCAAUAGAGGAAGAAAAAACAUCAUUACUUGCAACUUGAGCUUGCCUACCUAUGAUAGGAUCCUCAACAAGGUAAUAAAAUCCAUCAAUUUCUUUAGCACUGUCAAUUGUCCUCCCUGAGCAUAGGUCUUGAAAUUCACAAUAAGAUGGGAAAAAUUUAGCAACACAAUCCAUGUCCCUUGUUAGUUUACUAAUAGAGAGAAGAUUGCAUGAAAAAUUAGGGACAUGAAGAACAAAUUCUAAAGUAAAAAAUUUUGAAAUAGAGAUUAAACUUUUCCCUACAACAAAUGAAAAUGAUCCAUUUGCAAUUUUGAUUUUUUGGAUAAGGAAAAUAUGUUGAAAACAAAUUUGAUAAGCUCCUCAUAUGAUCAAAGGCACUAAAAUCUAUGAUCCAUGGUGUAAAAUUUAUAGAAUGAAUGCUUAAAGCACUAAGAGAUUUACCUGUUUGUGCUAAAGAACAAGAUGAUAAGGAGUUAGAAGAUGAAGAUUGAUUGAAUAACCUAUACCGAUGUUUUAGCUACUCUUUACUAAAUGAAGAUGUUUCAGUUAUGGUUUCACUACAAGAAAAAUGAGAAAUAAUGACGUUUUUUACACGUCAAGAAAGGCAACAUAUGACGCUUCUCUAAAGCGUCCUCUUCGGCUCUGUCAUUAUAUGUGUUAGCCAAUAAUGACGCUUCUAGGAAGCGCCAUCUUUGAAUAAUGUUAAUAAUGAAACUUGUAAAAAGUGUCAUCUUUAAACAUAUUCUCAAAUAAUUUUUACAAAAUUAGUAAUCUUUAAGCCGUUUCUGAAUCAUAUCUGAGCCUAUUUCUGGGGACCAGAAAACCAUCUUUUUUCCAUUCACCUGAGAGGUCUGAUUAGCAUUUCUGGAAUCAAUCUUUAAACCCAGGCUUCCCUCAUCUACCCAUUUAACCCUCAUGCCCUCCUGUUUGAACAACUCUCCCACUAUAUACACAAAUUUUUUACCUUCUGUUGUUGGUAUUUGACCUCUUCCCAUUCCUAGCACAAAAUCCACCAUUAGUGCCACUUUGUGAAUAAAAUCAUCGACCUAGAUCUUCCGGGCAGAAGAUGAGCUCCAGAGAAAUAAAAUUUCUGGGGUCUUCCCAGCAUGAAAGUCAUAGGCAGCAUCAAUGACAUCAAGAAAUGGGGCACUGUUGAGGAAAAACAUGUUCCCAUCAACCACCCAAGAAUUGUACCCAAACUCCAAACACUUCUAGAUUACAUACACCUUUACUAAGAUAUACUUCUUGAUCUCCAUAUCAAUUAAAGACUCUUCAUUUUAUGAGCUCUAACACUGUUGUGAAAUUGGUCCACAUCAAUCACAUGAUGACCCCUUCUAGCAAAAUCAAGUAGGAAGUCCGAAUUCGGGCCCAUAAAAAUGUAGGUCUGAAUAUUGAAACUCUCAAAGUGGCACAACAAAUUCCUUAUGACUCUUUCAGAUGCUCCAAACAGGCUCACAAGUAUAAUGGUAUCCUGUUUUUGCACAGAGUAAAGAACAUAUCCGAGUUCUUCAAAACUCCUUACAACUAUUCCAGGAUGUACUUCUUUGAAAUAGAAAUCAUACCACUUUAGCUUAGUCAGAGGUUGAAUCUAAAAUAACAAAACCCAAACAUAAAAUCAAAAUCGAAAUCAACCCUAAUAGAUUUCAGAAACAACAAAUUAAAAGAGUAAAUCACAAAAGGGGGAAAACACAUAUGAAACAAUCUUCAUACAAGCCCUAACCUUAGAUAAACCCCCAAAAAAAAAAAAAAAAAAAUCAAAGUAGAGAGUUACCAUAGAGCAUCUCUAUUUCAAGCUUAGAAAAGGUUUAAUGACAUUGAUAACUAGUUGGCUAGUGGUGGACUUCAAGCUUCUCUAUUUCGGCGUUAGUAGCUCUCAACGACUAUGGUGAGAACAAAGAAAUGAGAGGCUUAGGGUUUGGGAUGUGAGGUUAUCGAUGAUGAUGAGGAUAAAGUUAUGGGAUCUUGGGGGGUUAGGGAAAUUGAAGAUGGCUAAGAGUAAAGGCUAGGGUUUUUGAGAUAGUUAAUAGCUUUUUAGGGUGUGAGAAUUUAUAGAUCUUUAGGUGAUAUGGCGGGUGUGAGAAUGAAAUUUUAGAGGGAAUUGUGUGUUUGGCAGAAAUUUCACACAUGUAUAUAUAAUGUUUUAGAACAUAGCGCUUUAAAAAUGCGACAAGGAAGAAAUUAUUUAUUGACGCUUAAAUAAAGCGCCAAGGUCUCCAACAAUUAUGCAAUCAAUAACGUUUGUAAAAGGUGCCAUUGAAGAGGAGUGUCAUUGCUUUCCCACAAAGUGUCAUUGUUAAUCAAGCCUUUAAAAAAUGCCAAGAUAUGUUGCCACUUAGGUUAAAUAUUGACGCUUUUAAAAAACGUCAAGGAAAAAAACGUCAUUAUUCAUGUUUUUUGUAGUAGUGUUUUUUUUUUUUUACUCUUGGUUGUAGUCUGCAUGCCUUGGUCAUUUCUCUCAUGAAAUUUGCCAUUGAUUUUCAAGUUUUGUGGUUUUCCAUGCAAUUUCCAAUAGGUGUCUUUAGUAUGUCAUUGUUUGUGACAAUGAUCACACCAUAUCUUUAUUUUACCUACUAAUUUCUUUGAGAUCCCUUAACCACUAGCACUAGCAACAUAAUUGGUAGCAAGAUUAGUAGCAACACUGGAAGUAGCAUUAGUUGCAACAAUUAUUGAGUUCUCAUGAAUGAUUGAAGAAUAGUUUCCCAUCAUGACUGAUGUGCAGUUUUCUUUCCUUCGAAGCUUAACAAACAUUUCUCGAAUAGAGGGUAAGGGCUCUUUACUGAGGAUUCAUCCACAAACUUCAUCUAAUUCUUUAUUUAGCCUAGUAAGAAACUUAAACACUCGUUUCUUCUCCAUUAUCUUCUUAGAAUAGGCACUAUCUAUAGCACAUGCACAUUCAAAUCCAUUAAAUAGGACCAUUAUUGCCAAAGACCUUUCAAGCUAUUGUAAUAUUUAGUCACACCUUGAUCUCCUUACUUUAUCUCAUGGAUCUUUGAUUUCAACUCAAAGAUUUGUGCUGAAUUCCCAAUAUCAAAAUAAGUUUUCAUAAGUGCUUCCCAAAGCUUUUUUUUUUCUAUUAGUAAAAACAUGUAAGCCUAACUUAUCUUCAACUCCAUAGAUUUCACUAAUCAUGCCAUGAUCAUGAAGUUUUAUGAGUCCCAUGUUUGAAAAGCCUGGAUCAUCCUUUUUUGGGGCCUUUGUUGCACCGGUCAGAUAUCUUAGUUUCAUUUUUCUACAAAUAAACAAUAUAACGGACGGAGACCAUUGGAGAAAUGGAAGACUAUCACUAGUACCAUGAGGCGAGAUUUAAAAUGGAGGCAUUGAUACUUGUGAAAAAUCUCCAAAAUUCUCCUCCUUGUUGAUUCCUAACUUCAAAUUCUUCUACUAGUAGCCUAAUAUUUCCAACCAAAAAAAAAUCUAGUACUUGAAACUCCUAUUAGCAACCUAAUAGUUAAAAAAAAAAAAAAUUCCGGUAUUUGAAACCAUAAAUAAAUGUAUCACUUAUAAUAGAAAACUGGCUUUAAUACCAUGAAAGUUUGGAGAAAAAAAAAAUUGUUCCUCUAUAUCUUUGAAGUUUUGGAUUACAACAUAUAUAUAGGACCACUCUUGAGUACAUGCAAAAUGAAGAAAAUAAAAUAUGCGAUUGUGCAAAUAAUUUCUAUCUUGAAAUUAGAAAAAAAUAAAAACCAUAUUAGAAACAUUGACUCAACUGAUUCUAUCUCAUAAUUUACUCCAUUAAAUCAAAUCACAACAUCCCAUUUACAACAUUAAAUUAAAUCUCCCACAUAUUUUAUGAUUUUCCAUAAUGUGUCAUUCUCUUUAAGGAAUAAUAGAUUAUUUCAUUUAGUCUAAUCCACAUUGAUUCUUAGGGCCCACUCAAAUUCAAAGUACUUAUGGGGCAAAAUAGUUUGUCUUUUAUUGAUGAUUAUAGAAGGGUCAUAUGGUACAUCUUAUGAAACACAAAUAUGAUUAACAUUAUUUUUCGUGCUUUUCAUAGAAUGGUAAUGGAAAAGAGAUCCAAAGAUGGAAGAGAGUGCCUCAACCAAAGUCUAUUAUCUCAGGCUUUAAAAAAAAUGAAUUGUUCAUUAAUCUUCUUAUAUUAAUACUCCAUAACGAAAUAAGGGUAGUUGAAUGGAAAAAUAGACAUUUGCUAAAGGUAAUUAAACACAUGAUUUUUCAAAUGAAUGUUUCAAAGGCAUAUUAAGGGAAGACUAUUUUAUCAAUAGAUUGUCUUCUAAGGUGCUUGAUUUCAAAGACCCCAUAAAUCUUCUCACUCAAUACUACACACUUUGAUGGUUUUAAUCGAAUAACUCAAAAAAUAUUCGGGUGUGUGGUAUCUGUUCAUAUUUAGGCUCAUCAUAGAACUAAACUAGAUCCCUAGGCUUUUAAAUGUAUAUUCAUUGGUUAUUCUCCAACAAAAAGAGAUAUUAUCAUCCUAAUUCCUAGAGAUUUUUUAUUAUCAUCCUAACCUUUCCUCAUCUAACCCUUUGAAUUUCUAAAAAUUAGUUCUUCACCUAAACCCUUACCCCACAAUACUCUAGACUCAGUUCCUUCUAAGUUCAUGACUAAGCUUAAGUCUAUUGUUUAAGGAAAAGAGCUAGAGAAUCAUUAGUGGAACUUAAAGUCUAUUUAAGGAAAAUGCAACCAACUCUGGAAUCUCUACAUGCUCCAACCAUUAACCUUGAUAAAAUAUUGAAAAUCAAAGUAUCUCUACCUCUAAUGUCAUUAAUAACCUUAAUUUGACUAUUGCCCUUAAAAAAGAAACAAAAAAAAAAAAAAAAGAUAAUGCACUCAACAUCCACUAACUUUGCUUUCUUUGACAACUUGUUAUUCUCAUAUUGAGCAUUUGUUUACAAACUUAUCUUUAUAAAAACAUCGAAGCUAUUCAAGAAACACUUAGGGAAGGGAAUUAGAAGAAAGCCAUGUUUGAAGAAAUGAGUGCAUUGAAGAAAAAUGACACUUUGGGAACUUCUUGAUCUUCCUAAACGCAAAAGAAAUAUGAGGUGUAAAUGGGUGUUCACUACCAAGCAUAAAGUAGAUGGGAUAUAAUAGAGAUAUAAGGUGAUACCGGUAGUCAGGUUAAUAUGCAAAUUCAUAGGAUAGAUACCUGAUAAACCUUUGCUCCAGUGGCAAAGAUGAAUACUAUUUAUAUUUUAUUAUCCCUAGUUACUCAUUUUGAUUAGCCCUUACACCAAUUCGAUGUGACAAAUGCUUUUAUGUAGAAAGAUUUGGAAAAAGAGGUCUAUGUGGAACUACCACCAAAAUUUAAGGAAUAAAGUUUUGUGAAACCAAGGUUUGGUUAAUCUUGAUUUUGAUGAUAACAAAACAAGGUUUAGAACUCAUGAUCAUAUUUCAAGUGUGAUUAGGUAUGACGACUUCCAAAGUGGCAAUCCAAAGACAAAUCAAACCAAGGAGAAAUCAUGAAGAAGAAGACCACCUCAAAGAGAAGAGUUUUUCAAGACCAAAGCUUCUUAAUAUCUCUUUGUAAGGUUGUUGGUGCACUAGGACUUUCAUGCAUUUCAUUCUUUAUUUAUGCACCAAAAUCAUCCAAGAGUAAUAUUGUUUUAAAUAUCUUAAGAAUUGGAUGAUUUCAUGUUUUCAACUAAAACCUUGUGUUAAAUGAUUUUCAAACUUGUGUUAAAAGGUUUUAAGUUGAAAAAGGUUGAGUGUUGAGCCAAAAAAAUGGCUCAACCGGUGAAACCGGUCGAUCGGUUAUGCUCGUCUGGUUGAGUACCGGUCGAGGAGGCCAAAAAGUUUCUCUCUCUCCCAAUGGCCUUCUCUUCCCGAUCGAGGUAAUUCUCUUCCCGAUCGAGGACCGGUCGAGGUUCGGCUGAGGCUCAACGGUCACCUGCCAAACAUUUAAUGUUAACGGCUAAUCAACCGGUCGACCCCUAGCUUGACCGGACGAACCCCUAGCUCGACCGGACGAACCCCCAAACGGCUAGUUUGGAUUUUCUUUUCUAUAAAAAGGCUCCAAUCUUCAUUGUUUCAUAAGCUUAACCUUCCCAAAUCAUUCUUGAUUAUAUUUGAGCCUUGGAAGAGUGUUUUUGAGUGCACCAUUAUUUCAUAAUUUGCAUAUCUUUAGUGCACCAUUCAAUCCUAGUUUUUCUUGUAUCUUUGAGUCUAAAGUUCUAUUACUAGGAUAUUUGUGAGAUCAUUAUUUGUAUAUCUUUGUGAGGAAUUUUCUCAAGUGAGGGACAUCACUUGAGAGGUUAUUCAAGAGAGAGAUAUCUCUUGAAGAAGUGUAAAGGGUGCUUAGAGCCAAAAGUCCAAGAGGGUGAAUUGGAACCAUAAUCCAAUUGUAAAAAGAUUGGAAGCUUGGUUGAAGCUUCAAGAUAGCGGAACCCUCACUCGAUUAGGAGGUUGAGGAGAGUGGACGUAGGC